rnacentral:misc_RNA from 1 species
GUGAAUCAUCAAAUUUUUGAACGCAAAUUGCACUCUCCUCGGAGAGUAUGCCUGUUUGAGGGUCAGCCUAUAAAAAAUCGACAUCGUUGCUGUUUCGCGGUGACGUUCGUCGGAAAUUGGGUCAUCUUAAAUCCUUUUGGUUUUAAGCGACUUAAAAUUUUCUUUUUGGUUCCAUGAACGUUUCUAAGAUUUAUUUCUUUACACGUUUCAUGGUAUCGAUUUUUAUUAGACGUGACUAUC